GGCCGCUGAUGAUCUCUCAACCUUUCUGACACCUCGUCUGAGCGCGGCGGCCGCCGCCCCUGCUGACGAUGCAUGACUGAGGCCC